AUCUAUGGCGGACCGUGCGAGGAGGGCACCAGCCCACCGGUAUUGGUUCAUGAGCCGGGAUUCCACACCUCGUACGGUCCGCCACCCUC
rnacentral:antisense_RNA from 1 species